CCCGCCCGCCGGCCAAGGUGCCCUCCCGGCCGUACCCACCUGCGGCGGCCGGCCCGCUCCUGCCCCGGGGCCGGGCACAGGUACAAAAGUCUUGUUCAACACCAACAGAAACUACGGCUGAUGAA